rnacentral:rRNA from 1 species
CUAUGAUGGGGAUAACAGUUGGAAACGACUGCCAAUACCGAAUACGCUCAUGAUGAACUUUGUGAGGAAAGGUGGCCUCUGCUUGCAAGCUAUCGCAUAGAGAUGAGUCCGCGUCCCAUUAGCUAGUUGGUGGGGUAACGGCCUACCAAGGCAACGAUGGGUAGCCGAUCUGAGAGGAUGAUCGGCCACACUGGAACUGAAACACGGUCCAG